CCUACGGGUGGCAGCAGUGGGGAAUAUUGGGCAAUGGGCGCAAGCCUGACCCAGCAACGCCGCGUGAAGGAAGAAGGCUUUCGGGUUGUAAACUUCUUUUCUCAGGGACGAAGCAAGUGACGGUACCUGAGGAAUAAGCCACGGCUAACUACGUGCCAGCAGCCGCGGUAAUACGUAGGUGGCAAGCGUUAUUCGGAUUUACUGGGUGUAAAGGGCGUGUAGGCGGGACUGCAAGUCAGAUGUGAAAACCACGGGCUCAACCUGUGGCCUGCAUUUGAAACUGUAGUUCUUGAGUGCUGGAGAGGCAGACGGAAUUCCUAGUGGAGCGGUGAAAUGCGUAGAUAUUAGGAGGAACACCAGUGGCGAAGGCGGUCUGCUGGACAGCAACUGACGCUGAGGCGCGAAAGCGUGGGGAGCAAACAGGAUUAGAUACCCCAGUAGUC
rnacentral:rRNA from 1 species